rnacentral:rRNA from 1 species
AUUGAACGCUGGCGGCAGGCCUAACACAUGCAAGUCGAACGAGUGGCGGACGGGUGAGUAAUGUCUGGGAAACUGCCUGAUGGACGGGGAUAACUACUGGAAACGGUAGCUAAUACCGCAUACCAUCAUAUGUGCCCAGAUGGGAUUGGCUAGUUGGUGGGGUAACGGCGAACAAAGGCGACGAUCCCUAGCUGGUCUGAGAGGAUGACCAGCCACACUGGAACUGAGACACGGUCCAGACUCCUACGGGAGGCAGCAGUGGGGAAUAUUGCACAAUGGGAGCAAGCCUGAUGCAGCCAUGCCGCGUGUAUGAAGAGGGCCUGCGGGUUGUAAAGUACGUUCAGCGGGGAGGCGUUACCCGCAGAAGAAGCACCGGCUAACUCCGUGCCAGCAGCCGCGGUAAUUC